ACUGCAGUAUUUUAAAUCAGAAUCAGAAUCAGAAUCAGAAUCAGCUUUAUUGGCCAAGUAUAGAAUAUAUACAAGGAAUUUGGUUCCAGUGACCUGUGCUCCUAUGUAGAAAAGAUAAAAGAUAAAAAAUAAUAAUAAUAUAAAAAGAUAAAA